rnacentral:rRNA from 1 species
UGGGGAAUAUUGCACAAUGGGCGCAAGCCUGAUGCAGCCAUGCCGCGUGUGUGAAGAAGGCCUUCGGGUUGUAAAGCACUUUCAGCGAGGAGGAAGGGUAGUGUGUUAAUAGCACAUUGCAUUGACGUUACUCGCAGAAGAAGCACCGGCUAACUCCGUGCCAGCAGCCGCGGUAAUACGGAGGGUGCAAGCGUUAAUCGGAAUUACUGGGCGUAAAGGGCACGCAGGCGGUUUGUUAAGUCAGAUGUGAAAUCCCCGCGCUUAACGUGGGAACUGCAUUUGAAACUGGCAAGCUAGAGUCUUGUAGAGGGGGGUAGAAUUCCAGGUGUAGCGGUGAAAUGCGUAGAGAUCUGGAGGAAUACCGGUGGCGAAGGCGGCCCCCUGGACAAAGACUGACGCUCAGGUGCGAAAGCGUGGGGAGCAAACA